GCGCAGGAAAAGAAACCAACAGGGAUUGCCUUAGUAACUGCGAGUGAAGCGGCAAAAGCUCAAAUUUGAAAUCUGGCGUCUGCGGCGUCCGAGUUGUAAUUUGGAGAGAUUUCUUCGGGGUGAACACCGGUCCAAGUUCCUUGGAACAGGACGUCACAGAGGGUGAGAAUCCCGUGUCUGACCGGUUGCUUCAUUCCAUGUGAAGUGUCUUCGACGAGUCGAGUUGUUUGGGAAUGCAGCUCAAAAUGGGUGGUAAAUUUCAUCUAAAGCUAAAUAUUGGCGAGAGACCGAUAGCGCACAAGUAGAGUGAUCGAAAGAUGAAAAGCACUUUGAAAAGAGAGUUAAAAAGUACGUGAAAUUGUUGAAAGGGAAGCGCUUGAGACCAGACUCAAUUUGUGGUGAACAUCAGUCCUUCUGGGCUGUGCACUUGCCACUUUUUGGGCCAGCAUCGGUUCUGACCGUGUGAUAAAGGUCCUGGGAAUGUAGCUCCUCUCGGGGAGUGUUAUAGCCCAGGGCGUAAUGACAUGAGUUGGGACCGAGGACCGCGCUUCGGCUAGGAUGCUGGCAUAAUGGUCUUCAGCGACCCGUCUUGAAACACGGACCAAGGAGUCUAACAUCUAUGCGAGUGUUCGGGUGGAAAACCCUUGCGCGUAAUGAAAGUGAACGGAGGUGGGAACCCCUCGGGGUGCACCAUCGACCGAUCCUGAUGUUCUCGGAUGGAUUUGA
rnacentral:rRNA from 1 species